AUUGAACGCUGGCGGCAUGCCUUACACAUGCAAGUCGAACGGUAACAGGUCUUCGGAUGCUGACGAGUGGCGAACGGGUGAGUAAUACAUCGGAACGUGCCUAGUAGUGGGGGAUAACUACUCGAAAGAGUGGCUAAUACCGCAUGAGAUCUACGGAUGAAAGCAGGGGAUCGCAAGACCUUGUGCUACUAGAGCGGCCGAUGGCAGAUUAGGUAGUUGGUGGGAUAAAAGCUUACCAAGCCGACGAUCUGUAGCUGGUCUGAGAGGACGAUCAGCCAGACUGGGACUGAGACACGGCCCAGACUCCGACGGGAGGCAGCAGUGGGGAAUUUUGGACAAUGGGCGCAAGCCUGAUCCAGCAAUGCGGCGUGCAGGAUGAAGGCCUUCGGGUUGUAAACUGCUUUUGUACGGAACGAAAAGCCCCGGGUUAAUACCCUGGGGUCAUGACGGUACCGUAAGAAUAAGCACCGGCUAACUACGUGCCAGCCGCCGCCGUAA
rnacentral:rRNA from 1 species